GAUGAACGCUGGCGGCGUGCUUAACACAUGCAAGUCGAGCGAGUGAGUUCUUCGGAACGAUCUAGCGGCUGACGGGUGAGUAACACGUGGGCAACCUGACUCAUAGAGGGGAAUAGCCUCCCGAAAGGGAGAUUAAUACCGCAUAAGAUUAUCUAGUGGCAUCACAUGAUAAUUAAAGGAUUAAUCCGCGAUGAGAUGGGCCUGGCGAGCAUUAGCUAGUUGGUGAGGUAACGGCUCACAAAGGCGACGAUGCGUAGCCGACCUGAGAGGGUGAUCGGCCACAUUGGGACUGAAACACGGCCCAGACUCCUACGGGAGGCAGCAGUGGGGAAUAUUGCACAAUGGGGGAAACCCUGAUGCAGCAACGCCGCGUGAGUGAUGAAGGUCUUCGGAUUGUAAAGCUCUGUCUUUGGGGACGAUAAUGACGGUACCCAAGGAGGAAGCCACGGCUAACUACGUGCCAGCAGCCGCCGUAA
rnacentral:rRNA from 1 species